ACCGCGACCACAGUCAUGCGGAUAGCCCGCG
rnacentral:rRNA from 1 species